ACACUGUUAAAAAUGGGGUGUUACGUAGCACACUAAUUUUAGUAGGUAAAUGUCAGUGGUGUGUUAAUGAACACACUCGUGUGUUUGUCGUGCUCAACAACACACUUGGAGUGUAAUAGAACACACUCGGGUGACACAACAGAAUGGUGUGUUACUGAACACUCUGACAUCCAUACAGUGGUGUAAAGUAGCACACGAUAUAUAAGAUAUUAAGAAGGUCUUUUUACUUUUCAGAUACCAGAAUUAAUAUUUAUGUUCCACUUAGUACAGUUAGAUCACCAAGAGUGCUAAGUAUGUGCAAGUGAAAUAAGAGUUGAAAUGCUGCAGUCCCUGCAAAUACGGGAAACAACUUGCUAUCACUCUCAAAGGAAGCUUUAUACUUUGCAAACCCAGAAAUCCAGGUCCUAAAAGUAUGGCUAUAGUAUAUAGAAGCCUGCAAUGCAUGUAGAAUCUCUACAUGCAUGCUAUACUAGAGCUAAGUGGCUAAGUCCGGACCUUCUGUGUGCGCAUGCGCAUUGAGGCUAGAAGCACAUGUAGUGUGCUUUAAUUAAAAUCAACAACAAGAAGAACUGGAGAAGAACUCAAUUUAGCUCUGCACUAACUGCACUGAGUAUUUAGCUUUCCUGAAGAAUAUACACUGCUGCAGCACUUCAUGGAGCUUCCAAAGGCCAUUCAUGUGCCCAGAACUUGACCUCAUUCUUGACCUGAGCACUGUUUGGGUAUAGAAGUGACUAUUCUCUGGGACAUACUAACUGCUAUAAAUGUGCAGAAAAGUAUCCAGAUACGUGGAGUAAUAGAUAUGCUUACCAGACAUAAUUGUAUUUAUUAUUUAGGAUGAGAUACAAGAUGACUUCAAUCAAAAUGUGCUACUGCUGCUGUGCGCUCUUUCGUCAAAAAGGAAACAUGUGAUGUGCUGUCAUUAACAGUAAUGUGUUAUGUAAUAAUCUGUAUAACAUUUAAAUAGUCGUUCGUUGUAUAUAUGUUUUUGAUUUGUGUUAAAUGACUUGUACAUUUCGUUGAAA